rnacentral:rRNA from 1 species
CAAUCUCAGUUCNGACUGCAGGCUGCAACUCGCCUGCACGAAGUCGGAAUUGCUAGUAAUCGUAGGUCAGCAUACUACGGUGAAUACGUUCCCGGGCCUUGUACACACCGCCCGUCAAACCAUGAGAGUUGGCAACACCCGAAGUCGGUAGUCUAACCGCAAGGAGGACGCCGCCGAAGGUGGGGUUGAUGAUUAGGGUUAAGUCGUAACAAGGUAAC